UACAGAGGUCCCGAGCGUUGUUCGGAUUUACUGGGCGUAAAGGGUGCGUAGGCGGUGGGGUAAGUUUGAGGUGAAAGCUCCGGGCUCAACCCGGAAAAUGCCUUGAAAACUAUCCGGCUAGAGGGUUGGAGGGGAGACUGGAAUUCUCGGUGUAGCAGUGAAAUGCGUAGAUCUCGAGAGGAACACCAGUGGCGAAGGCGGGUCUCUGGACAACACCUGACGUUGAGGCACGAAAGCCAGGGGAGCAAACGGG
rnacentral:rRNA from 1 species